GCCCGUGCCUCUUCCUCCACACUUUCCCGCAAGCUGAGGGAGCCGGCUCCCGCCUUGGCCAGCCCGGAAAGGGGCUCCCACGGUGCAGCGGUGGGCUGAAGGGCUCCUCAAGCACGGCCAGAGUGGGCGCCAAGGCCGAGGAGGCCCCGAGAGCGAGCGAGGGCUGCCAGUAUGCUGUCACCUCUCAUUAUUAUUUGCCGAUGGGAGUGGAGAAGGAGACUUGGUGAUAACAGGACUGAAAACCUUGUGUAGGUAUUUGGAUGCCAUUUGCAUUACUGCUUCAGAGGACCAGUUGGAUGUGCCUUUUUCCAUUUUUUUGGUUGAGUUUCCCAUUCUUGGAGUAAUUUUUAAGAAAGAAAAAAGCAGCCCCAGCAGCUUUCCCCUGGGAGCUGGCCUGGGUAGCUGGGCUGUGUUGUUUCUCUGCUGAAACAUCUACAAUUUCACAGAAUGCUAAGAUUAGACAAGCGCAUUCCAUGCCCAGGAUGGAGCAUGUAAGAACAAGAAUGCUCCAUAAUCACAGCUCUACACAGAUGAAAACAAAAACACCAUGAGCACCACAAAGAAGACCAACCACUCCUCUGGCCAGCAUCUGCCAGUAAAUGUGACUGCUGCUGCUGCUUUAACCUGUUAGGGUGUAGCACACUCCAUUUCUCUUGCCCCAUAAAUUAAAAAAAAUUAAAGUAUCUAAUUACUGAAGUCCCCACUUCCCUUUCUGAGACCACUCAAACAAAAGCUAAUUCCUACUUCUUUGAAUUCUCCCCCAGAUUAGCUAACAUGAGCCCAAAUCCAAUUCCGUAUCUCUUUUUAACACACUCUCACUCUGUGGGUUUUUCAUUUCUUGUUGUCUCCCUUACUUCAACAGGUACACAUGCCAAAUUUGCAUGACUAUAUAUAUACAUAUACAUAAUCUGUUCCUGAAAUUUUCAGUAGUGCCAUCUAUAAAAAAUGAUUUAUUUUAAUUGCAAAAAUAUAUUAGAAUUCACAUUUUUAAAUGAAUAAAUCAUAUGUAAUUAACAUUC
rnacentral:lncRNA from 1 species